UCUGGGCUAGUUAAUGUAAGUUAAACAACAGU
rnacentral:piRNA from 1 species